AGCAGUGUGCACUCUGGUGAUGACCAUAGACCUCUUCCCACAACUGGUGGCACUACAUACUCAUACCACAACAUCUCAGGACUUUGGAGGACAAGUUGGAAGGACAGAAGCAUCAGAAGUCCUGAAUGGCAAGGACCCUGCUAGGCCUGGAGAGCUUGUUCUGUGCUCCAGUGCCCAGCCCACUUCCACGUACUUUAUCCCAUUGGCCAACCUCUGGAGGUCUCAUCUCAGGACUGCUUGCUGCUUUCUCCAGAGCCUGCCUACUUGCUGCUUGGGAAACACAACCUUCCCAACCCAUCCAGGUUUCUGAGUGAAUCCUUUAAGGGUGGAGCCGCGUGGGAGUCACGUUGUCCUAAGGAAAAUCUCCGUGUUAUAGAAUUAGUACACAUCCCACCAGUCAGGAAACUCUCACCUCCCGCCAGCCCUGCUGGUUCUCUCUGGCCUCUAAGUCACUGCCAGGUCUGAUCGAUACCAGUGUAAACAGCUUUGUCCUGCGUUGUUGGUUGUCCUUCCUGGUUUGGGAUGUAAUCCAUAAUUCAACUACCAUUCCCUGGUUCCACGGGAGCCAAGAGGGUGCUAAAGAGAGGAGUAUCAGGAACUGGAUGAGGAUUCCCAGCACACUCCCAAGCCAGGCCCUAGGUGAGCCCCUUCUGGAGAAAGAAGUGUGAUGCAGGGCCUUCCUUUGCCAGAGAGUUCUGAAGAAGUCUAUUUUGCUCAGUCCGGCUGACCGCACUUUAUAGUAACGAUCCGAUUCGGGAGACCAACCCCAGACAACAGUCCUCCAUGUACAGGCCGACAAUCCUGUUCUUGGGUUGCUAGGAGUUUCCUGCAUUUGUUUCAUUUUCUUUUUAUUGAUUCUUUGUGAAUUCCACAUCAUGCAUCCCAAUGCCACCCAUUUCCUCAUCCUUCCAUACCCACCCUCCUCCCUUUUCACCUCCCUACAAAACAAAAAUAAAUACUGAAACAAAACAAAAACAUUU